AGUGAACGCUGGCGGUAGGCCUAACACAUGCAAGUCGAACGGCAGCACAGAGGAGCUUGCUCCUUGGGUGGCGAGUGGCGGACGGGUGAGGAAUACAUCGGAAUCUACUCUGUCGUGGGGGAUAACGUAGGGGAACUUACGCUAAUACCGCAUACGACCUACGGGUGAAAGCAGGGGAUCUUCGGACCUUGCGCGAUUGAAUGAGCCGAUGUCGGAUUAGCUAGUUGGCGGGGUAAAGGCCCACCAAGGCGACGAUCCGUAGCUGGUCUGAGAGGAUGAUCAGCCACACUGGAACUGAGACACGGUCCAGACUCCUACGGGAGGCAGCAGUGGGGAAUAUUGGACAAUGGGCGCAAGCCUGAUCCAGCCAUACCGCGUGGGUGAAGAAGGCCUUCGGGUUGUAAAGCCCUUUUGUUGGGAAAGAAAUCCAUCUGGUUAAUACCCGGGUGGGAUGACAGUACCCAAAGAAUAAGCACCGGCUAACUUCGUGCCAGCAGCCGCCGUAA
rnacentral:rRNA from 1 species